UGAUUGAUUUGGCCGAAUGACAACUCUC
rnacentral:piRNA from 1 species